UGGGGAAUAUUGGACAAUGGGCGAAAGCCUGAUCCAGCCAUGCCGCGUGUGUGAAGAAGGUCUUCGGAUUGUAAAGCACUUUAAGUUGGGAGGAAGGGUUGUAGAUUAAUACUCUGCAAUUUUGACGUUACCGACAGAAUAAGCACCGGCUAACUCUGUGCCAGCAGCCGCGGUAAUACAGAGGGUGCAAGCGUUAAUCGGAAUUACUGGGCGUAAAGCGCGCGUAGGUGGUUUGUUAAGUUGGAUGUGAAAUCCCCGGGCUCAACCUGGGAACUGCAUUCAAAACUGACAAGCUAGAGUAUGGUAGAGGGUGGUGGAAUUUCCUGUGUAGCGGUGAAAUGCGUAGAUAUAGGAAGGAACACCAGUGGCGAAGGCGACCACCUGGACUGAUACUGACGCUGAGGCACGAAAGCGUGGGGAGCAAACCGGAUUAGAUACCCAAGUAGUCCCUGAGCGGGCUGGCAAGGCGCAU
rnacentral:rRNA from 1 species